rnacentral:lncRNA from 10 species
CCUGGCAGACUGGACUGGUGUUUCCUUAUUUUCUCAUGUGCAGUUUUCCUAAAGUUGUAUAUUCAGGAAGAAAAGCUUAAUUUCCUGGACUAUUCUGGACAUGUGAUUCAGCUGCCUCUGUUCUGCCAUUAGAAAGGUGUGUAAACAAAACUUAUGGGAACACCAGGGAAAGUUUCAUGGAGAAGGUUCUUUUUCAGCUUGACUUAGAAGGAUGAUGAUGUUGGGAUACUUGCAGUGGUUUUGUUAAUUAAAAGUUGAAAAAGGGUGUGAGGACAUUUCAAACAAAGGUAACAGUAAAAGCAAAUAGCAUGAAUUAGGUAAACAUCCAAAAGAUGAGAGAAGUGCAUGUGUGCACAGGAUUUUGGACUUUAAUUCUGUAGACCAGUGGUGAUUGUUUUUGCUUUUAAUUAUUUAAAAAAUGUUUGUGUCAAUUAUCAUUUAAUUGCCUCUGAGCUCUAUAUUCACCCUUUUUUGCUUGCUUUGUGAAAAUACUAACGGGCCCAUUAAAUGUUUUUUUCUUUAUCAGCUGGCGCAGUGUGAAGCUAUGUCAGUAGAGGGCUCUGGGCAGACAUUGCAAGAGCAAAGAGUUUUGCUUCCUGGUUACGGUGUGCUUGCUUGGCAGCUCCUGCAGCACACGGGCAGAUUCUCCAGCACCAUGUCCUGCCUGGCAGGGUAGUCAGUAGCACCCAUUGACCAGCAGCUUCCCUUGGCAUCACCUUCUCCCUUGAAUGGCUUUGUAGUAAAGUGUCUGGUGCGACACCUCUCCAUGACCUGCUUUCCCUGACAUCCUAGAGGACAGAUUUCUGGUUUCAUUUAAAUAUGACACCAUGGUUUGGAGUCCUAAGCCAUAAACAAUAAGCCAGAAUGAUUCUGCAGCUUUCAAAAGAAGAAAAGUCUGCAAACUUUGCAUGGAAACACACCACACAGCAUUUCUGAUGUCUUUACUGUCCCCUGGUCAUUGUCUUGUGCCCAUUGGAGGAGGCAUGUUUUAGGGUAUCAGUAGUGGAAGCAGGUGCAGCAGAAGUACAUCAGAGCCAGAUUAGGAAGUGAGGACAGAGUCAAGGGGCAAAGCCAACUUGUCGCAUGUCAGAACAGAAGAUGCCAAGAACUGAGAAGGGUGGAUUAUAGAUUUGGAGGCAUGGAAUGGGAGAACUAAUAUUAUAGGAUAAAACUGGAUGGCAAAGGCUGAAGACUUGGGGGUGUCAGGAAUAUUUCUGAAUUUAAAUGAUGGGUUCUGAACUAAUAAUUGUGGUUCAGACCCCAUUCACCAGAUUUGAAUGCAUCUCAGGAAGUAGGAGACUGGGGAGAAGAACUUUUAAAGAGCCACAUGCCUGCCUUUCUGCUCGGGUUCUGAGAUUCUUGAGGCAUUAUUGUCUCUGAAGGAAAUAAACAAUUGUUACCUUGUAAAGGUGUCUUUAUCCUCAGCACUAUUACAAAAUUUCAGGUGCAUGCAUGUAGCUACAAUCAUUGAGCAUCAUUCUGAUGUCCUUUGUGUAUCAGUCAUCUCUUAUGGUGACUUAAGUAUAAUGUCAAGGGUUCGGGUUAAGGCACUAGGUGGAACCAGAGUGGGAGAAACUGCUCCUUAGGAUGGAGGAGGCAGCAGUCCAUUAACCCAGGGGUUUCACGAACUGGACCAUUAUUUUUUUCUUUUUCUUUCUUUUUUUUUUUGAGACAGUGUUCUUAUUUUGUUGCCCAGGCUGGGGUGCAGUGGUACAUGGACCAUGAUAUUCUUAUCAAAGGACAUUUUGUCUGGUGGGUUGGAGCAAUAUUUGGCAGAACUAUGGUUUAAGAAAUCAUCUCAGAGAGCAGGAGGUGAAUGGGGAGAGGCUGAUGAGAAAAAGGCAUAAAUGAGAAUUCCUAGGUGAGCUAGUAAUGUUCUGGGCUGGAUUAAGUGUGAACUUGCAGAGUUAAGUGGAAAACCAGGGCAGGCAGGUUCUUAAUCUUAUGGGCUGGGCCAGCAAGAUGCAUAGUAGGGGGAGGCUCUUGUCCAGUACAGUGGAGGGCUGAUAUGGUUUGGCUGUGUCCCCACCCAAAUCUCUUCAUGAGUUGUAGUUUCCAUAAUCCGCAUGUGUGGUGAGAGGGACCUGGUGGGAGGUAAUUGAAUCAUGGGGGUGGUUCCCCCCUGCUAUUCUUGUGAUAGUAAGCUCUCACAAGAUUUGAUGGUUUUAUAAGGGGCUUCUCUUUUUGCUUGGUUCUCAUUCUUCUCUC